GCUGCAUACAGGAAGUAGAAUUAAUGCAAUUCGAAAACAGGUGUAAUGCUGGCUCCGGUCAGUAUUUCUGUUGGAAAUUUGAAAGGGCGUACGGACAUUGAACUAUUACAAAAAAUCUAAUCCUUUGACCCCCAAUUUUCUCCAUUGCUGUUUAGUACUUGGUAAGUUACCAAUGUAAAAACAUGGUUUCCAGGCACCUUGCUUCUGCAGGAAAGUGGCAGUUUGUUGUUGAAACUGGCUUAAAAAGGCUCGGAAACACACAUAAUUCUGAUGUUUUGAUUUGAAAUAAUCAAUACUAAAACAUUUUGCCCCAACUCAUUUGAUUUGAAUGUUACUGAUUUUUCAGAAGGCACAGCCUCAACCAUUCUGGCAAUGUGCUUGGUUUAUUUUCAGAUUUGCGAGGUGACCAGUUUCCAGACAUUGGUUCGCUCCUGCUUGUGUACGCGAUUGGCCGAGACUAAAAAAACUGUAGUGUGCCACCUUAAGGUAAAACGACAAAUUUCCAAAACGAUCAAACACCCAUGAAACAUGCUUUUGCUUAAUUAUAUAUUCCUAAGGUUUUGUUUUUUAACAGAGUGUUUGCCCAUAACACUAUUGUAUGACCAAUACUGUUCGUAAAUCAAGGGAGGUAAUUCGGAAUCAUGUUUACUGGUUUCUGCAAUUCUCAAACAGUUCUGUAUGAAGAAUGUGUUCAAUUUGUAGCCGGUAUGGACAACUUACUACUCUGUGGUGAAGAAGGGCUUUAUAUUCAUAUAAUGUCAAAAAUUAUAGCAAACAAUAUAAGAAUCCAAUCAAAACAAUGAUUCAAAAUGGCCGUUUGGGCAGAAUUUAGUACGGUUAAGGACCUAUGGCCUGGUAACAAUCUUGUUAACAUUGUUUCCAUGUUAACAUUGUGCAUGCUUUCGCAUUGAAAUCAGUGUGGAAUGUCAUUUAUUUCAGGUUUUAGUCGUUUGCUUGUAAGGCAAGAUAGUCCCUGGAGAAGAACUAAAAUACGUCAACAGCCUUGUCAGCGGAAAGACACUCCGUUGCAGUUACUGAAGAUUUGCGAGGUGACCAGUUUCCAGACAUUGGUUCGCUCCUGCUUGUGUACGCGAUUGGCCGAGACUAAAAAAACUGUAGUGUGCCACCUUAAGGUAAAACGACAAAUUUCCAAAAUGAUCAAACACCCAUGAAACAUGCUUUUGCUUAAUUAUAUAUUCCUAAGGUUUUGUUUUUUAACAGAGUGUCUGCCCAUAACACUAUUGUAUGACCAAUACUGUUCGUAAAUCAAGGGAGGUAAUUCGGAAUCAUGUUUACUGGUUUCUGCAAUUCUCAAACAGUUCUGUAUGAAGAAUGUGUUCAAUUUGUAGCCGGUAUGGACAACUUACUACUCUGUGGUGAAGAAGGGCUUUAUAUUCAUAUAAUGUCAAAAAUUAUAGCAAACAAUAUAAGAAUCCAAUCAAAACAAUGAUUCAAAAUGGCCGUUUGGGCAGAAUUUAGUACGGUUAAGGACCUAUGGCCUGGUAACAAUCUUGUUAACAUUGUUUCCAUGUUAACAUUGUGCAUGCUUUCGCAUUGAAAUCAGUGUGGAAUGUCAUUUAUUUCAGGUUUUAGUCGUUUGCUUGUAAGGCAAGAUAGUCCCUGGAGAAGAACUAAAAUACGUCAACAGCCUUGUCAGCGGAAAGACACUCCGUUGCAGUUACUGAAGAUUUGCGAGGUGACCAGUUUCCAGACAUUGGUUCGCUCCUGCUUGUGUACGCGAUUGGCCGAGACUAAAAAAACUGUAGUGUGCCACCUUAAGGUAAAACGACAAAUUUCCAAAAUGAUCAAACACCCAUGAAACAUGCUUUUGCUUAAUUAUAUAUUCCUAAGGUUUUGUUUUUUAACAGAGUGUUUGCCCAUAACACUAUUGUAUGACCAAUACUGUUCGUAAAUCAAGGGAGGUAAUUCGGAAUCAUGUUUACUGGUUUCUGCAAUUCUCAAACAGUUCUGUAUGAAGAAUGUGUUCAAUUUGUAGCCGGUAUGGACAACUUACUACUCUGUGGUGAAGAAGGGCUUUAUAUUCAUAUAAUGUCAAAAAUUAUAGCAAACAAUAUAAGAAUCCAAUCAAAACAAUGAUUCAAAAUGGCCGUUUGGGCAGAAUUUAGUACGGUUAAGGACCUAUGGCCUGGUAACAAUCUUGUUAACAUUGUUUCCAUGUUAACAUUGUGCAUGCUUUCGCAUUGAAAUCAGUGUGGAAUGUCAUUUAUUUCAGGUUUUAGUCGUUUGCUUGUAAGGCAAGAUAGUCCCUGGAGAAGAACUAAAAUACGUCAACAGCCUUGUCAGCGGAAAGACACUCCGUUGCAGUUACUGAAGAUUUGCGAGGUGACCAGUUUCCAGACAUUGGUUCGCUCCUGCUUGUGUACGCGAUUGGCCGAGACUAAAAAAACUGUAGUGUGCCACCUUAAGGUAAAACGACAAAUUUCCAAAAUGAUCAAACACCCAUGAAACAUGCUUUUGCUUAAUUAUAUAUUCCUAAGGUUUUGUUUUUUAACAGAGUGUUUGCCCAUAACACUAUUGUAUGACCAAUACUGUUCGUAAAUCAAGGGAGGUAAUUCGGAAUCAUGUUUACUGGUUUCUGCAAUUCUCAAACAGUUCUGUAUGAAGAAUGUGUUCAAUUUGUAGCCGGUAUGGACAACUUACUACUCUGUGGUGAAGAAGGGCUUUAUAUUCAUAUAAUGUCAAAAAUUAUAGCAAACAAUAUAAGAAUCCAAUCAAAACAAUGAUUCAAAAUGGCCGUUUGGGCAGAAUUUAGUACGGUUAAGGACCUAUGGCCUGGUAACAAUCUUGUUAACAUUGUUUCCAUGUUAACAUUGUGCAUGCUUUCGCAUUGAAAUCAGUGUGGAAUGUCAUUUAUUUCAGGUUUUAGUCGUUUGCUUGUAAGGCAAGAUAGUCCCUGGAGAAGAACUAAAAUACGUCAACAGCCUUGUCAGCGGAAAGACACUCCGUUGCAGUUACUGAAGAUUUGCGAGGUGACCAGUUUCCAGACAUUGGUUCGCUCCUGCUUGUGUACGCGAUUGGCCGAGACUAAAAAAACUGUAGUGUGCCACCUUAAGGUAAAACGACAAAUUUCCAAAAUGAUCAAACACCCAUGAAACAUGCUUUUGCUUAAUUAUAUAUUCCUAAGGUUUUGUUUUUUAACAGAGUGUUUGCCCAUAACACUAUUGUAUGACCAAUACUGUUCGUAAAUCAAGGGAGGUAAUUCGGAAUCAUGUUUACUGGUUUCUGCAAUUCUCAAACAGUUCUGUAUGAAGAAUGUGUUCAAUUUGUAGCCGGUAUGGACAACUUACUACUCUGUGGUGAAGAAGGGCUUUAUAUUCAUAUAAUGUCAAAAAUUAUAGCAAACAAUAUAAGAAUCCAAUCAAAACAAUGAUUCAAAAUGGCCGUUUGGGCAGAAUUUAGUACGGUUAAGGACCUAUGGCCUGGUAACAAUCUUGUUAACAUUGUUUCCAUGUUAACAUUGUGCAUGCUUUCGCAUUGAAAUCAGUGUGGAAUGUCAUUUAUUUCAGGUUUUAGUCGUUUGCUUGUAAGGCAAGAUAGUCCCUGGAGAAGAACUAAAAUACGUCAACAGCCUUGUCAGCGGAAAGACACUCCGUUGCAGUUACUGAAGAUUUGCGAGGUGACCAGUUUCCAGACAUUGGUUCGCUCCUGCUUGUGUACGCGAUUGGCCGAGACUAAAAAAACUGUAGUGUGCCACCUAAAGAUUUGAUGUACCGAAGGCAGAUUGGUCAUCCAGUGAGACAUAUUCUGUGAGUACUGGGUAUUGAGAAUAAAUGGAACUCUAGCCGGAUACUGGACAUGUACUAGUAUACUACUAACCUCCUUUCCUGUCUAGAUGGAAGUGACUGUACAGUAGUUGUAAUAGUUGCCAAUUAAGCAGCAUAAUGGAACUCAAAUCAGACACUGGCAGUGGCAAUGCACUGACAUGAUCCAAAGUGUCUAGGUGACAUUGACUGCUUGGAAUAGUAGUCUAGUGAGUAGUGGUACCAGAACUAAAUCAAGACACUAGACAUGUACGGACCUCCAUCAUGUCUUGGUGGAAGUGACUGAGGUUGGAAUAGUUGUCAAGUGAGCAGCAGGAAUUGAACUUAAAGUCAGCCACUGGACCUGUACUGACCUCCAACUUGUUGAGGUGGAAGUGACUGUGCAGGGAUAGUUGUCAAGUCAAGAAUUACAAGCCAAGUCUU